rnacentral:lncRNA from 1 species
CUCAAUAUUUUAUUAAAUCUCGGCCCAAAUUUAUCGGCUACAACAUUCCACAGUUCGGGCCUAAUUAACAAUGCAUCACAUUUAUAAUAUGGGUUCACAUAAUUAUCUCAUCUAUAAUAAUAAACGAUUAAAGUAUACAAAUCCUAUAACUGCGGAGUCACUAACUGUUAGUAUACAUAGCAAAAUAAUUAUGGAACUAGGAAAAAUUCUUUAUUGCCCUGCGCCGAAGAAACAUAGCCUAAAUCGGAUUAAAGGAAAAACCUACUUCCUGAAAAAUCAAACAAGACAUGUGAGUUUUCUAAGGAGUAAUAAUUAUUGCACAACACACGCAGUCACACAAAUGUGUACACAUAUUAAUCUAGUCAUCCGACUAGUUAUAUGCUCACGCAGCC